UCAUGCCACUGCACUCCAGCCUGGGCAACAGAGUGAGAUUCCAUCUCAAAAAAAUAAAAAAAGUGAGGUGAAGUCUCCUACCAUUAUCGUAGACCUAUCUGUUUCUCCUUUCAUUCUACAGUGUUUGCUUAAUAUAUUUAGGAGCUCUGAGGUGUGUUGCAUGUACAUUUAUAACUGUUACAUCUUUUUGGUGAAUUGACUGUUAUCAUUAUCUCUUAUAACAGCUUUUGACCUUAGGUCGAUUUUGUCUGAUAUUAGUAUAGCUACUCCUUCUCUAUCUUAUUUCAUCCUUUCACUUUCAACCUGUGUAAGUCUCUCAGUCUUCUGAUGGUGGAAUUCAUUUGUAUUUUUAAAGAUUAUCAUUCUGAUGCAACUGACUAACCUGGUGACUGUGUCAUGAGGCCCACAGCCAAGGACUGCGGUGACCAGUUGCUGUGGGGAGACUCCAGCACAUUACUGACGGGACUUCCCGAUGGGGAAGGACUUCCUGGUGCCACGCUGUUGAUUGUUUUCUGCAUGGCUUAUGGUUUGCUUUCUCUGUCAUUUCGUCCCUUUGUGUUUAAUUGAUGUUUUUAUUGUGACACACUUAGGAUCUCAUUUGCUUUUGUGUACGUUCUGUAGAUAUGUUGUCAUUACCAUGGGGAUUACACGAAACAUCCUGAAGUUAGAGCAAUCCAUUUUAAACUGAUGUUUUGUUGAUGGCUGACGUAGCGGACUCAAAACAACGAGCACUUCUGCUUGAUACACAGAUUCUCCGAGGUUCCUGUGGAGCCACAGCACCUCCUGUCUUGGCACUUCAUAGUUGUCUCAUCGAGUCCAAGGCUGCCUCCCAAGGGUCUGGCUGGUAGACCAUGAAGUUGAUUCCUGCCUUAAGCCUGGCUCUGCAAGAAGUUGUCCUAUAUUCUCACCAGUCACAUUUUUGGUACUAGAACGGUGCUUUUUAUAGUGCACUCGUAACUGGACGCUGAAAUCACAGCCUGGCCAUUUGGAUGUUCAACCGAUGCUUUAUGCUGCUGAGUCCUUGGAACUCACUCCCCGUGCCGGAACUCACUGGAGCUCAGAUAGGUUGAAGCCCUAACCUUCUAUACCUGUGAACGUGGUGUUAUUCGGAAAUAGGUUUUUUGCAAAAGUAAUCAAGUUGAGGCCAUAGUGGAUGAAGGUAGGCCACACACCCAAUGAAUGCUGUCCCUGUGAGAAGACCAUGUGAAGAUGCCACCCAGAAGGCAGAAGGCCACCACGUGGGACAGAGGCAGAGACUGGUGUGAUGCCACCACAGCCGUGGGUCCUGGCAACCACCAGAAGCUGGAGGUGCUACAGAAGGAUCUUCCCUAGGACUUUGAGAGGGAGUGUGGCCCUGCUGACAACUUGCUUUUGGACUUCUGGCCUCUAGAACUGUGACACCAUACCUGUCUGUUGCAUUAAGCCUUCCAGUUGGUGGCAAUUUAAUACAGUAGUCCUAGGAAUCGAAUGCAGGGUGCUUACUAAACAUGCAGAAGCAUGUCGAUCUCUGAGGAGAUCCAAGUUGGUAAUAGGGCUACAGCCCAGGACUCCUGUGGAAUUUAACCAAGCACAAUGUGAUCUUGCCAGGCAGGUGGGGGCAGGGGACGGUCUGCAGACCACACGGAGUUGGCCCUGGAUGGCUCCCAGCAUCUGAGCUCAGCCCCGCUGGGUGUCACUGAAGAGCAAGGGCCAUGCCUGCCUCUGUGUAGCCUGGGUGAAUGCCUGACCUCCCUGAAUCUGUCCCUCAUCUGUCCUGGGGCCACUGGGUUGGGGUGAGCAAGAAACAAGGCUGGGAAAGCCUUCUGACCACUCCACAGACCCCAGAAUGGACCAAGUGAGAAUAGCUGUCCCAAAUAAAUCGGGGAUAGGGAAGCAAGAGGACCAGCCUCUUGCCGAGCAUCCGCCAUGGGUUCACUCCCAGGGCUCCAGUUCCAUCAGGCACGGGGCUUACAGAGCCGGGGGCAGGCAGGGGCCUGGCUGGAAACGGGGAAGUGACAGUCAGUCCCGGAGAACAAGAACCUUGGAAGGAGAAACUCCUUUGAAAUGGCCACGGCUGCUGAACUCUCAACCCAGAAAUGCCAUCCUCAUUCAGCUCGGAUGCCGGGAAGGGAGGGAACUCCCCUCUCACAAGCACCUGCUACAUGCAGAUGUUGUACAAAUGUGUUUGCUCCUAACCAUUCUGCAAGGGAGAUGGUAUUUGUUCCC
rnacentral:lncRNA from 1 species